UGGGGAAUCUUGCGCAAUGGGCGAAAGCCUGACGCAGCCAUGCCGCGUGAAUGAUGAAGGUCUUAGGAUUGUAAAAUUCUUUCACCGGGGACGAUAAUGACGGUACCCGGAGAAGAAGCCCCGGCUAACUUCGUGCCAGCAGCCGCGGUAAUACGAAGGGGGCUAGCGUUGCUCGGAAUUACUGGGCGUAAAGGGAGCGUAGGCGGACUGUUUAGUCAGAGGUGAAAGCCCAGGGCUCAACCUUGGAAUUGCCUUUGAUACUGGCAGUCUUGAGUACGGAAGAGGUAUGUGGAACUCCGAGUGUAGAGGUGAAAUUCGUAGAUAUUCGGAAGAACACCAGUGGCGAAGGCGACAUACUGGUCCGUUACUGACGCUGAGGCUCGAAAGCGUGGGGAGCAAACAG
rnacentral:rRNA from 1 species